AGAGUUUGAUCCUGGCUCAGAGCGAACGCUGGCGGCAGGCCUAACACAUGCAAGUCGAGCGGGCCCUUUCGGGGGUCAGCGGCAGACGGGUGAGUAACGCGUGGGAACGUACCCUUCGGUUCGGAACAACUCCGGGAAACUGGAGCUAAUACCGGAUACGUCCGAGAGGAGAAAGAUUUAUCGCCGAAGGAUCGGCCCGCGUCUGAUUAGCUAGUUGGUGAGGUAACGGCUCACCAAGGCGACGAUCAGUAGCUGGUCUGAGAGGAUGAUCAGCCACACUGGGACUGAGACACGGCCCAGACUCCUACGGGAGGCAGCAGUGGGGAAUAUUGGACAAUGGGCGCAAGCCUGAUCCAGCCAUGCCGCGUGAGUGAUGAAGGCCCUAGGGUUGUAAAGCUCUUUCACCCACGACGAUAAUGACGGUAGUGGGAGAAGAAGCCCCGGCUAACUUCGUGCCAGCAGCCGCGGUAAUACGAAGGGGGCUAGCGUUGCUCGGAAUCACUGGGCGUAAAGGGCGCGUAGGCGGCCGAUCAAGUCAGGGGUGAAAGCCUGUGGCUCAACCACAGAAUGGCCUUUGAUACUGUUCGGCUCGAGACCGGAAGAGGUUGGUGGAACUGCGAGUGUAGAGGUGAAAUUCGUAGAUAUUCGCAAGAACACCGGUGGCGAAGGCGGCCAACUGGUCCGGUUCUGNNGCUGAGGCGCGAAAGCGUGGGGAGCAAACAGGAUUAGAUACCCUAGUAGUCC
rnacentral:rRNA from 1 species